rnacentral:tRNA from 1 species
GUUCAAGUCCCUCUAUCCCCAUCCCCA